GCCGGCCUACGAAGUUGGUGAUGGUGGUAACCGAUUUUUGAACCAACACCUGAAUGAACGGGGGCCCGACUCGACAUAGAUCCGGUGUGCCAUGCUCCGCCACGCGGAGACGCCUAAAGGGUCUCGGCGGGUUCCCACACGUCUCUAGACGGUUCAUUCUCGGCCCACCACACGGCUCAGUGGGUCGGCU
rnacentral:other from 1 species